AUUGAACGCUGGCGGCAGGCCUAACACAUGCAAGUCGAACGGUAGCACAGAGAGCUUGCUCUCGGGUGACGAGUGGCGGACGGGUGAGUAAUGUCUGGGAAACUGCCCGAUGGAGGGGGAUAACUACUGGAAACGGUAGCUAAUACCGCAUAACGUCUUCGGACCAAAGUGGGGGACCUUCGGGCCUCACACCAUCGGAUGUGCCCAGAUGGGAUUAGCUAGUAGGUGGGGUAAUGGCUCACCUAGGCGACGAUCCCUAGCUGGUCUGAGAGGAUGACCAGCCACACUGGAACUGAGACACGGUCCAGACUCCUACGGGAGGCAGCGGUGGGGAAUAUUGCACAAUGGGCGCAAGCCUGAUGCAGCCAUGCCGCGUGUAUGAAGAAGGCCUUCGGGUUGUAAAGUACUUUCAGCGGGGAGGAAGGCGAUGUGGUUAAUAACCAUGUCGAUUGACGUUACCCGCAGAAGAAGCACCGGCUAACUCCGUGCCAGCAGCCGCCGUAAGAC
rnacentral:rRNA from 1 species